rnacentral:rRNA from 1 species
GGGACCCGUCUUGAAACACGGACCAAGGAGUCUAGCAUGUGCGCGAGUCAUUGGGACUCUAAUGAAACCUAAAGGCGUAAUGAAAGUGAAGGUUCGCCUUGCGCGAACCAAGGGAGGAUGGUCGAUCCUUCGAGGUCGUCCCGCACUCCCUGGGCGUCUCGUUCUCAUUGCGAGAAGAGGCGCACCAAGAGCGUACACGCUGGGACCCGAAAGAUGGUGAACUAUGCCUGGUCAGGACGAAGUCAGGGGAAACCCUGAUGGAGGUCCGUAGCGAUUCUGACGUGCAAAUCGAUCGUCGGAACUGGGUAUAGGGGCGAAAGACUAAUCGAACCAUCUAGUAGCUGGUUCCCUCCGAAGUUUCCCUCAGGAUAGCUGGCGCUCGCUUCUCGCGAGUCUCAUUCGGUAAAGCGAAUGAUUAGAGGCAUUGGGGUCGAAACGGCCUCAACCUAUUCUCAAACUUUAAAUGGGUGAGAUCUCCGGCUUGCUUGAACUGUGAAGCCGCGAGAUAUCGGAUCAGAGUGCCAAGUGGGCCACUUUUGGUAAGCAGAACUGGCGCUGUGGGAUGAACCAAACGCCGAGUUAAAGCGCCUAAAUCGACGCUUAUGGGAUACCAUGAAAGGCGUUGGUAACUUAAGACAGCAGGACGGUGGCCAUGGAAGUCGGAAUCCGCUAAGGAGUGUGUAAA